UCUAGAGUACUUCUCUCGCCAAGCCCGCAAGGGCGACGCGGAGACAUCUCGAAGAUCGAUCUGGCUCUUAGGGGUUGUUUAGCAAAGCGCGCACUAUCUAGUUUUGAGAGAACCGGCUUGGGCCAUGGCCCUUGGUUCUUUGAAGAUGUCGGGCCUGUAGCUCAGCUGGUUAGAGCACACGCUUGAUAAGCGUGGGGUCACUAGUUCGAAUCUAGUCAGGCCCACCACCACGCGAGCGUAAGGAGUGACUUAUUGAGAUUGCGUCGUUCCUGAUGCGAUGGAGUUAGUUCGGUCGUAACAUCACCAGACUUUCCUUCCUUCGCACCAGACAACAAGCAUCGAUCAACUCAAUACGGGGAAUUAGCUCAGCUGGGAGAGCGCCUGGUUUGCAACCAGGAGGUCACCGGUUCGAGCCCGGUAUUCUCCAGUCUUCGUUCGGCCGGAGUGAUGGCGUGACCAACGCCACGCGGAGGCGAACGUCGGUCAGGCAGGCUGAGAAGCCGGUCCAGGCAGCGAAUUGUUAAGACAGGACAAGUGCCUGUCUCGCCGAAGCCGAAGGGCGGAGGCGGAAAUCUUUGACAACUGAAUAUCCUGCAAACGGUAGUUUUUCCGACCACACAUUCAUUCGCCCGAGCUCGUAAGAGCGAAGGCGAACAACGCAGUGUGCAUAAAACUGUCGCACGCCAGGGAUGCGAAUCCCUGGUGAGCGUUAGUUUCGAGUUUCUUAUGGUCAAGCUACUAAGGGUGUACGGUGAAUGCCUUGGCAUCAAGAGUCGAUGAAGGACGCGAUAAGCUGCGAUAAGCCCCGGUGAGCCGCAAAUGGGCUUUGACCCGGGGAUUU
rnacentral:misc_RNA from 1 species